rnacentral:rRNA from 1 species
UCCGGUGGCCAUGGCGGCGGGGAAACACCCGUUCCCAUUCCGAACACGGCAGUUAAGCCCGCCAGCGCCGAUGGUACUUGGGGGGUGACCCCCUGGGAGAGUAGGACGCCGCCGGGA